GUACCAGCGGUACUGCAGUCAGAGUAUUACUACACUAGAGACAGAUAGGAGUACCAGCAGUACUGCUGUCAGUGUAUUACUACAGUAGAGACAGACAGGAGUACCAGCAGCAGGUUUUUGGCCUACUCUGACAGCAGUACUGCUGGUACUCCUGUCUGUCUCUAGUGUAGUAAUACUCUGACAGCAGUACUGCUGGUACUCCUGUCUGUUUCUAGUGUAGUAAUAC